rnacentral:rRNA from 1 species
GACGAACGCUGGCGGCGUGCCUAAUACAUGCAAGUGGGACGCAAGAGAACACACUGUGCUUGCACACCGUGUUUUCUUGAGUCGCGAACGGGUGAGUAACGCGUAGGUAACCUGCCUAUUAGCGGGGGAUAACUAUUGGAAACGAUAGCUAAUACCGCAUAAUAUUAAUUAUUGCAUGAUAAUUGAUUGAAAGAUGCAAGCGCAUCACUAGUAGAUGGACCUGCGUUGUAUUAGCUAGUUGGUAAGGUAAGAGCUUACCAAGGCGACGAUGCAUAGCCGACCUGAGAGGGUGAUCGGCCACACUGGGACUGAGACACGGCCCAGACCUCUACGGGAGGCAGCAGUAGGGAAUCUUCGGCAAUGGACGAAAGUCUGACCGAGCAACGCCGCGUGAGUGAAGAAGGUUUUCGGAUCGUAAAGCUCUGUUGUAAGUCAAGAACGUGUGUGAGAGUGGAAAGU